CAGUAGCCACGGUAAUACGGAGGGGGCUAGCGUUGUUCGGAAUUACUGGGCGUAAAGCGUACGUAGGCGGCUUUGUAAGUUAGAGGUGAAAGCCUGGUGCUCAACACCAGAACUGCCUUUAAGACUGCAUCGCUUGAACGUCGGAGAGGUGAGUGGAAUUCCGAGUGUAGAGGUGAAAUUCGUAGAUAUUCGGAGGAACACCAGUGGCGAAGGCGGCUCACUGGUCCAUUACUGACGCUGAGGUGCGAAAGCGUGGGGAGCAAACAGGAUUAGAUACCCCUGUAGUCCCUGUCUCUUAUAC
rnacentral:rRNA from 1 species